rnacentral:lncRNA from 8 species
CUGGUACUGGUACCCCUGCACAUUGUCUGGUACUGGUACCCCUGCACAUCGUCUGGUACUGGUACCCCUGCACAUUGUCUCGGUACUGGUACCCCUGCACAUCGUCUCGGUACUGGUACCCUGUGUACUGCAUGUAGCCAGGUUAUUUCUAUGGUGUGUUUAUUCAUCAUUAUUAUUUCUCUAUUUCUACAUUUUUCUUUCUGCAUUGUUGUGAAUGGCCAUUAAGUAAGCAUUUCACUGUUAGUCUACACUCAUUGUUUACAAAGCAUGUGACAAAUAAACAUUAGAUUAUAUUUCGAUUCUCAUCUUUCAUCUCUCACUACUUAAUCCUAUCCCUCAUUCUUCUCAAUGUCUGUCCCACAGCACCUAAGACCUCGCCCCAGCAUCCCUCCUUUCUUUUUCUCAUCCAUCCAUCCAUCCAUCCAUCCAUCCUUCAGUCUCUCUUACUGACUGUCACUGUCACUCGCUACCUUCCCUGUUCCCUGUAGAGCUGUUCUCUUCACUCUCUCCAUCUCUCUCUCUUCACUCUCUCCAUCUCUCUCUCUUCUCUCUCUCUCUCUUCACUCUCUCCAUCUCUCUCUCUCUUCACUCUCUCCAUCUCUCUCUCUCUUCACUAUCUCCAUCUCCAUCUCUCUCUCUCUUCACUAUCUCCAUCUCUCUCUCUCUCUUCACUCUCUCCAUCUCUCUCUUCACUCUCUCAUCUCUCUCUCCAUCUCUAUCUCUCUCUCUCUUCACUCUCUCCAUCUCUCUCCCUCUUCACUCUCUCCAUCUCUCUCUAUCUCUCUCUCUCUCACACUCUCUUCACUCUCUCAUCUCUCUCUCUUCACUCUCUCAUCUCUCUCUCUUCACUCUCUCUUCACUAUCUCCAUCUCUCUAUCUCUCUUCACUCUCUCUUCACUCUCUCCAUCUCUCUUCACUCUCUCCAUCUCUCUUUCACUCUUUCCAUUUCUCUCGUCACUCUCUCCAUCUCUCUCUGUCUCUCUCUCCCUUCACUCUUUCCAUCUCUCUCUCUCUUCACUCUCUCCAUCUCUCUCUCUUCACUCUCUCCAUUUCUCUCUCUAUUCACUCUCUCCAUUUCUCGCUUCACUCUCUCCAUCUCUCUCUCUUCACUCUUUCCAUUUCUCUCGUCACUCUCUCCAUCUCUCUCUCUGUCUCUCUCUCUCUUCACUCUUUCCACCUCUCUCUCUCUCUCUCUCUCUCUCUCUAUUUCUUCACUCUCUCCAUCUCUCUCUCUCUUCACUCUCUCCAUCUCUCUUGCUCUCUUCACUUUCUCCAUCUCUCUCUCUUUACUCUCUCCAUCUCUCUCUCUUUACUCUCUCCAUCUCUCUCUCUCUUCACUCUCUCCAUCUCUCUCUCUUCACUCUCUCCAUUUCUCUCUCUCUUCACUCUCUCCAUUUCUCUCUUCACUCUCUCCAUCUCUCUCUCUCUUUACUCUCUCCAUCUCUCUCUCUCUUUACUCUCUCCAUCUCUCUCUCUCUUCAAUCUCCCCAUCUCUCUCGCUUCACUCUCUCCAUCUCUCUCUUCACUCUCUCUUCACUCUCUCCAUCUCUCUCUCUUCACACUCUCCAUCUCUCUCUUCACUCUCCCUUCACUCUCUCCAUCUCUCUCUCUUCACACUCUCCAUCUCUCUCUAUCUCUCUAUCUCUCUCUCUUUACUCUCUCCAUCUCGCUCUCGCUACUCUCUCCAUCUCUCUCUCUUUACCCUCUCCAUCUCUCUCUCUUCACUCUCUCUCUUCACUCUCUCCAUUACUUUCUCCAUCUCUCUCUCUUCACUCUCUCCAUCUCUCUCUCUCUUCACUCUCUCCAUCUCUCUCUCUCUUCACUCUCUCCAUAUCUCUCUCUUCACUCUCUCCAUCGCUCUCUUCACUCUCUCUUCACUCUCUCCAUCUUUCUCUUCACUCUCUCUUCACUCUCUCCAUCUCUCUCUCUCUUCACACUCUCCAUCUCUCUCUCUCUCUUCUCUCUCCAUCUCUCUCUCUUUACUCACUCCAUCUCUCUCUCUCUUCACUCUCUCUCUUUACUCUCUCCAUCUCUCUCUCUCUUCCCUCCCUCCAUCUCUCUCUUCACUCUCUCCAUCUCUCUCUCUCUUCACUCUCUCCAUCUCUCUCUUUACUCUCUCCAUCUCUCUCUCUUCACUCUCUCCAUCUCUCUCUUUACUCUCUCUUCACUCUCUCCAUCUCUCUCUUUACUCUCUCCAUCUCUCUCUCUCUUCCCUCUCUCCAUCUCUCUCUUCACUCUCUCCAUCUCUCUCUCUCUUCACUCUCUCUCUUCACUCUCUCCAUCUCUCUCUUUACUCUCUCCAUCUCUCUCUCUUCACUCUCUCCAUCUCUCUCUCUUCACUCUCUCCAUCUCUCUCUUUACUCUCUCUUCACUCUCUCCAUCUCUCUCUUUACUCUCUCCAUCUCUCUCUCUUCACUCUCUCCAUCUCUCUCUCUUCACUCUCUCCAACUCUCUCUUUACUCUCUCCAUCUCUCUCUUCACUCUCUCCAUCUCUCUCUCUCUUCACUCUCUCCAUCUCUCUCUCUUCACUCUCUCCAUCUCUCUCUUCACUCUCUCUUCACUCUCUCCAUCUUUCUCUUCACUCUCUCUUCACUCUCUACAUCUCUCUCUCUCUUCACACUCUCCAUCUCUCUCUCUCUUCACACUCUCCAUCUCUCUCUCUCUCUCUCUCUUUACUCUCUCCAUCUCUCUCUCUCUCUUCACUCUCUCUCUUCACUCUCUCCAUCUCUCUCUUUACUCUCUCCAUCUCUCUCUCUUCACUCUCUCCAUCUCUCUCUCUCUCUUCUCUCUCCACCUCUCUCUCUUUACUCACUCCAUCUCUCUCUCUCUUCACUCUCUCUCUUCACUCUCUCCAUCUCUCUCUUUACUCUCUCCAUCUCUCUCUCUCUUCCCUCUCUCCAUUUCUCUCUUCACUCUCUCCAUAUCUCUCUCUUCACUCUCUCUCUUCACUCUCUCCAUCUCUCUCUUUACUCUCUCCAUCUCUCUCUCUCUUCACUCUCUCUCUUCACUCUCUCCAUCUCUCUCUUUACUCUCUCCAUCUCUCUCUCUUCACUCUCUCCAUCUCUCUCUUCACUCUCUCCAUC